rnacentral:rRNA from 1 species
AACGAACGCUGGCGGCAUGCCUAACACAUGCAAGUCGAACGAGACCUUCGGGUCUAGUGGCGCACGGGUGCGUAACGCGUGGGAAUCUGCCCUUGGGUUCGGAAUAACAGUUGGAAACGACUGCUAAUACCGGAUGAUGACGUAAGUCCAAAGAUUUAUCGCCCAGGGAUGAGCCCGCGUAGGAUUAGCUAGUUGGUGGGGUAAAGGCCUACCAAGGCGACGAUCCUCAGCUGGUCUGAGAGGAUGAUCAGCCACACUGGGACUGAGACACGGCCCAGACUCCUACGGGAGGCAGCAGUGGGGAAUAUUGGACAAUGGGCGAAAGCCUGAUCCAGCAAUGCCGCGUGAGUGAUGAAGGCCUUAGGGUUGUAAAGCUCUUUUACCCGGGAUGAUAAUGACAGUACCGGGAGAAUAAGCCCCGGCUAACUCCGUG